UGUAAAUAUUUCAUCCAUUUGUACUACUAAAAUUAGUGUGGCCAAUAGAAUAACAAAAUAGUUACACAUGAUGUGUCACAUGUGCCUUAUUUUUACGUAUAGAGACCUAUCUUUAAUUAUAGAAAAGGAUGGAAUUUUUAACA
rfam:Gossypium raimondii Chr12_contig_668, whole genome shotgun sequence.